CAUUGCCUGUCUCCCAGUAGAUGCCCAAUAAACAUUUGCCAAAUGAAUGAUGUUACUCACUAGGUACCUUCUCUCCAAGACUAAGAGUUACCUGUUAAUUCAACAUUGAUCUGAGUACCUCCUGUAGGACAACUCCUAUCACCUCCUUGUUAGCUCGUUUGCCCCUGGAAAAACAUCCCCAUGCAAAUAAACCCAUAAGAGGAGCCCUGAGCCCGCCAACACAAACAUUUUAUCACCAUAUUUAGAGGAGAAGGGAGUGGAUGAAGGUGUGAGGAGCUGAGCAAAGGAUCCAUUUACAAUUUUGGAGGGGCCCUUUGAGACUGGAACUGAUGUUACAGACCUAAGAUGAAGAGGUCCACUUAAUAGAUUGAAAUCACAAGAGCUACCCAUUUACCACUAGACUUCUGGCUCACAGAAUUACUGAAAGAAGAGCAUGAUGCUAUCGGAAGACAGAAUUCUGACUCCAAGCUAGUGCUGUGUACCCCUGCGAUGCAGUUGUAACUGCUUGGUCACCAAAUCAUGAACGGGGAAGUGCUGGUGGUUGGAUAUGAACCACGACAUCGUGGGCAUCUGGCUGAUUACACAUGAACUGUGAUCGCUUUCUCUCCAUGUUCUGUUUUGUGGAGUAGCAACUAUUUCAAAAUUGAGUCACAAGUGUGCACACAUACAUAUUAUGUCCUCAGUUUUUCAAACAUUGUGCUUUUCUGGAAGGAAGAAAUCUAAACACUGAGCAUUUGUAUACUCACACCAGCCAUGGAUGAGAGUUCCAGUUGUUCCAUAUCUUUGCCAACUUCUGGGGUUGUCAACCUUUUACUUUAAUCAUUCAAGUGGGUAUCAAGUGCAUCUAAUUAAGAUCUUUAAUUUACAUUCCCUAAGAAUUUAAUGACAUUGAGUUCUUUAAUGACACUUGUUGGUUAUUUGUGUAUCUACUUCUGUGAAGCAUCUGUUCAAAUAUUUUGUGACUUUUAAGCUAUUUCCUUGCUCAUUUGUAAAAUUGUUGACUUAUGGUUCUUUUGUAUAUUCUGGACACAAGUCCAUUGUCCCAUAGUGAUGUUGUAAACAUAUUUCCCAACCUGUGCCUUGCUUAUUCAUUGUCUUACUAAUGUAUUUUGAUGAGCAGAAAUUUUAUUUCUUAUAAAGUAUAAUUUUUCAAAAUUUACUUUUUAGGGUUAUGUUUUUGGUGCCCUGUUCAAUAAAACCUUUAUCCACCCACAGUCAUGAGAAUUU